rnacentral:rRNA from 1 species
CUCCCAAACCCAUGUGAACAUACCUAACGUUGCCUCGGCAGGUCGCACCUACCUUGUAGCACCCUACCCUGUAGGGCCUACCCGGGAGAUGCGGGUAAGCCUGCCGGCGGCCCACCAAACUCUGUUUAAUAUUGAAUUCUGAACAUAUAACUAAAUAAGUUAAAACUUUCAACAACGGAUCUCUUGGUUCUGGCAUCGAUGAAGAACGCAGCGAAAUGCGAUAAGUAAUGUGAAUUGCAGAAUUCAGUGAAUCAUCGAAUCUUUGAACGCAUAUUGCGCCCAUUAGUAUUCUAGUGGGCAGGACCGUUCGAGCGUCAUUUCGACCCUUAAGCCUUAGUUGCUUAGUGUUGGGAGCCUACGGCAACGUAGCUCCUCAAAGUUAGUGGCGGAGUUGGUUCACACUCUAGACGUAGUAAUUUUUUAUCUCGCCUAUUAGUUGGACUGAUCCCCUGCCGUAAAACCCCCAACUUAUCAAGGUUGACCUCGAAUCGGUUCAGACAAACUCGCUAAAUUGAAGCAUCUUAGUCAGCGAAGGAAAAGAAACCAACAGGGAUUGCCCUAGUAACGGCGAGUGAAGCGGCAACAGCUCAAAUUUGAAAUCUGGCCCUCGGGUCCGAGUUGUAAUUUGUAGAGGAUGCUUUUGGCGCGGUGCCUUCCGAGUUCCCUGGAACGGGACGCCUUAGAGGGUGAGAGCCCCGUACGGUUGGACACCAAGCCUCUGUAAAGCUCCUUCGACGAGUCGAGUAGCUUGGGAAUGCUGCUCUAAAUGGGAGGUAAAUUUCUUCUAAAGCUAAAUAUUGGCCAGAGACCGAUAGCGCACAAGUAGAGUGAUCGAAAGAUGAAAAGCACUUUGAAAAGAGGGUU